rnacentral:sRNA from 1 species
AGGCUAAGGAAAGCAUUGCGCAUGCGGGAAACCCACGCUGAGGGAAGAAUCAUGGGAAAGAGUAGAGACGGGGUUCCACCGUGUUAGCCAGGAUGGUCUCGAUCUCCUGACCUCGUCAUCCUCCCGCCUUGGCCUCCCAAAGUGCUGGGAUUACAGGCUUGAGCCACCGCGCCCCGCUCUUUCGUGUUCCAAAGGCUUUUUAAAUAAACUUCCACUCCUGUCCUGGAUUCUGCUUUAUGGCCCUCAGUCGAAUUCUUUCUUCUGAGGAGGCAAGGACUGAAGUUGCUUCUGACCAGUACAGAUUGGGAAGGAGAAAGUCACUUGACUCACAGGCCAACUGCUAUGGACUGAAUUGUGUCUUCCCCUCAUUAAUAUGUUGAAACCCUAUCCUCCCUCCAAUGUGAUGGUAUUUGCAGAUGGGGCUUUUGGGAAGUAAUGAAGUUUAGAUGAGGCAUGAGGGCUGGAUGGAUAUGAUCAGAUGAGUGCCCAAAGAAGAGACACCAGAGAGCUAGCUUCUUCUUUCUCUUUCCACCUUUACACACUGAGAAAAGGCCAAGUGAGCACACACCAAGAAGGCAGCCAUCUGCAAACCCAAGGAGAGAGUCCUCACUAGACACCCUGCUGGUACCUUGAUCUUGGACUUCUAGCCUCCAGAACUGUGAGAAAUAAAUUCCUGUUGUUCAAGCUAGUAUUAAUACCUGGUGUUUUGUUAUGGCAGCCUAAGUGACUAAGACACCAACUUAAUUUACUUAGCCAGGGUCAAUCAGUGGUAGGGCCCAGGAUUCUGACCCAGUUCUGCCUAACUCCACAAUUCAUGCUUUUUCUGGAUAUAAACAUCUGCCUUCCCAGUUUCCCUGACUCUUAGAGCCGUGGAGCAGUGUGUGUCAUGUGCUGCACACCCAGGCUGGAACAGCCUGUCUCCAGGAGAAAACGAAUACAGCAGGGAUGACUUCCACCAGCUCCACUUUGCAGCUCUGAGGUGUAUUAAAAAUGACCUGGAAGAAGUCAUGCCACGGGCCAGACCUUAACAUUCCUUUCGGCUUACCCCAGGAUUUCAGACGAAGCUUCACUUUCCUAACCAGUCACAAAUCAGAGAAUUUUUGAUUCCACCUAUGACCUGUGAGCUCCUGCUUCAAGAUAUUCCACCUUUUUUAGGCCAAACCAAUGUAUAACCUCCAAGUGUCGAUUUACACUUUCGACUGUAACUUCUGCUUUCCUGAGAUUUACCCCUGCCUUUAAAAACCCUUGCUUGUAAUCCCUCAGGGAGGCCGUGUAUUUAUUAAUCAUGAGCUGCCCAAUUCUCCUUGCUUGGUGCCCUGCAAAUAAACACCCUCUUUUCUCCCACUGCAAAA